CAUGCCGUAAACGAUGAGUGCUAAGUGUUAGGGGGGUUUCCGCCCCUUAGUGCUGCAGCUAACGCAUUAAGCACUCCGCCUGGGGAGUACGACCGCAAGGUUGAAACUCAAAGGAAUUGACGGGGGCCCGCACAAGCGGUGGAGCAUGUGGUUUAAUUCGAAGCAACGCGAAGAACCUUACCAGGUCUUGACAUCCCGAUGAUCGCUCUAGAGAUAGAGUUUUCCCUUCGGGGACAUUGGUGACAGGUGG
rnacentral:rRNA from 1 species